UCUAUGCUAUUUGUUUUUUCCCCCAUUCAACAGAAUAUUGAGAGCUUAAAGGACUUGUUUGGACUAGUUUCCCGCCCUAGUUUGAACAAGGUGGAUGUAUUUUGUUGUUCACAUGGUACAAGUUUCUGAACUUUACAUACCAGAAUCGACCAAACACAUGUAACCAGAACUUGAUUGGCACAGUCUUCACUGAUGACUUUAUAUCUCGUCAGAAGUCAUUGGAGUCAGAAAAGACUUCUGGUGAACUUGCUGAGAUUCUCUUGAUUCGUUACUUAAAGGAUCAACAUAGUGUCCACACAAGUCGAACCACUGUGCUUUGUGCACUUCCUGUGUUGCUGAGAGAAGACACCUCAAGAUUCUUCAAAACAUGCGGGGUAAAUUGCUUUAUUCACACA